GGAGUUAGCCGGUGCUUCUUCUGUGAGUGAUGUCCUUCCUGCCGGCUAUUAACCCGCAGGCCUUCUUCCUCACUGAAAGUGCUUUACAACCCGAAGGCCUUCUUCACACACGCGGCAUGGCUGGAUCAGGGUUGCCCCCAUUGUCCAAUAUUCCCCACCUGCUGCCUCCCGUAGGAGUCUGGGCCGUGUCUCAGUCCCAGUGUGGCUGAUCAUCCUCUCAGACCAGCUACGGAUCGUCGCCUUGGUGAGCCGUUACCUCACCAACCAGCUAAUCCGACAUAGGCUCAUCCGAUAGCGCGAGGCCCGAAGGUCCCCCGCUUUCCCCGUAGGGCGUAUGCGGUAUUAGCCUGGGUUUCCCCCAGGUUAUCCCCCACUACCGGGCAGAUUCCUAUGCAUUACUCACCCGUCCGCCGCUCGCCACCAGGGAGCAAGCUCCCCGUGCUGCCGCUCGACUUGCAUGUGUUAGGCCUGCCGCCAGCGUUCAAUCUGAGCCAUGAUCAAACUCUGA
rnacentral:rRNA from 1 species